rnacentral:rRNA from 1 species
GACGAACCGAGCGAACGUUGUUCGGAAUCACUGGGCUUAAAGGGCGCGUAGGCGGGUGCUCAAGUCCGGGGUGAAAUCCUCCAGCUCAACUGGAGAACUGCCUCGGAUACUGGGUGUCUCGAGGGUGGUAGGGGUAUGCGGAACUCUCGGUGGAGCGGUGAAAUGCGUUGAUAUCGUAAGGAAGACCAGUGGCGAAGGCGGGUCUCUGGACAGUUCCUGACGCUGAGGCACGAAGGCCAGGGGAGCAAACGGG